rnacentral:lncRNA from 1 species
AAAAUGUUCUUCUCUGGUUCUUUUAAGGUGAUACCAGCAAGGACGAGACCACCAGCGGGCCGGAUUCAGUAGAUUCUGGUGAAGGCGUGGUGGAGAAGAAGGACCCAGAUACACCAGACGAGACAGAAACAGGAAGUGAUUCUCCAGACACAGACUCUGCUUCUAAAGCAUCUCAGGAAACAGACUCUCCAGAUGGAGCAGAGAAGGACGCUGAUGAUAAGACUGAUACGGAUAAAGAUUCUUCCAGUAAGGAGCAGUCAGACACCGACUCAGCGGAUCAGAAGGAUUCCUCAGAGGACACAUCGGAUACACCUGAUGCUGCAGACAAAGAAACUUUUGACUCAAACGAGUCAGACAAGGACAAGACAGAUACCAGCAAUGACACGGAGAAGGACAGUAAGGAGAAGGACAGUAAGGAGAAGGACAGAGACGUGGAGGAUUCAGACACUCCCGACAAAGAAGUAAAGGACACUGAUAAAGACAGCAGCGAGACUGAAGACACUGACGAGAAGGAGAAGAGUGAUAAAUCAGGUGCAGACAAAACAGAUCCUGAUCGCUCUUCAGAAAAAGGAGACAGCAAAUGCAGACAGCGAUGCAGACAGUGGCGUAGACAGCACAGGUCCAAAAGGCGAGGAUGAAGGUUUAGACAAGGACAAGGACAGCUCACACAAGACCAGCGACGACACCAGCAACGACAGCAAUGAGGGAAAAGAGAUCGAGAGGGAAACCACGACUGAAAACGAAGACAAAGACUCUGAGAAAUCUAAAGAGACCGCCGAAGAACCGUCUUCUGUAGACUCCCAGGAAAGCCAAAAGACCGCCUCCUCCAGCUCAGACUCCUCCCACUCCUCAAGCAAAGAAAACAACCAGGACCAGGAGAAGAGCAGCGCCGAGUCCACUGAUAAAGACAGCUCAGACAGUUCGGACCGGGACAGCACCGAGACCGAGGGAGAGGUUGCAGAUGACAGUGACAGCAGCCCAGAGACGGAGACGUCAGAUGAAAACGACAACAGCGACUCGAUGGACGCAACAGAGUCGACGUCACAUGAUGAGACCACUGAUGAAGAGACGGACACAGACACUACUGACGAUGCAGGCGACACAGUGCAGGAAGACCCUCCAGUCAGUCCCAUCGACGUCCCGGACCAGUCAGGUCAUAUAGACAACACAACACAAGUGCCUGAUGGGAUACCCCCCCCCGGUCAGGUCUUAGCAUCCAGGAUAUAAUAACAUGCAGCAGUUUAACAGGGUCAUCCGACACAACAACAGAAGCAACUCAAGUGGCCAUAAUAACCCGUCGCAUUCUGAUUCCCGUUAACACACGACACGUUUAAAUGCCAUCUCUCUCUCUCUCUCUCUCUCUCUCUCUCACAUGGUGAAGGGUUCUAUCUAGAGGGUUCUGGGAUGCACGUUAAAUUAUUCAGCUGUUUUUGGUGUACAUUCUGUUUCUCCCAUAUUUGAUAAACUAAUUUCUUUUUCAUGUAACUUAUGAAGAGGAUCUCAGAGGUCACGUUGGCUCUUUAGUAGUUAGUGUUAAACAAUUAAAGGUCAGUGGAGAGUGAUGGUGAUUCACGGUUUCGAGUCUUUUCUGCUUUUCGUUUGUUUGCUGCUGUCUGUGGCCCUGGUGGUAAGACAUCCUGUACAACUCCUACACUGACAAUGUUCUCCUGACUCAGCUAAACGUCCGGUGGUUCACAU